ACUCCUACGGGAGGCAGCAGUGGGGAAUUUUCCGCAAUGGGCGCAAGCCUGACGGAGCAAGACCGCGUGAGGGAGGAAGGCUCUUGGGUUGUAAACCUCUUUUAUCAGGGAAGAAGAUCUGACGGUACCUGAUGAAUCAGCAUCGGCUAACUCCGUGCCAGCAGCCGCGGUAAUACGGAGGAUGCAAGCGUUAUCCGGAUUUAUUGGGCGUAAAGCGUCCGCAGGUGGUUUUUCAAGUCUGCUGUUAAAGCGCAGAGCUUAACUCUGUAACGGCGGUGGAAACUGAGAGACUAGAGUAUGGUAGGGGUUGCGGGAAUUCCCAGUGUAGCGGUGAAAUGCGUAGAUAUUGGGAAGAACACCAGCGGCGAAAGCGCGCAACUGGGCCAUUACUGACACUCAUGGACGAAAGCUAGGGGAGCGAAAGGGAUUAGAUACCCCUGUAGUCCUAGCUGUAAACGAUGGGUACUAGGUGUUGACCGUAUCGACCCGGUCAGUGCCGUAGCUAACGCGUUAAGUACCCCGCCUGGGGAGUAUGCACGCAAGUGUGAAACUCA
rnacentral:rRNA from 1 species